ACCAGAACUACCUUUUUUUCAGUCAAGAAACCUGACCUACCUUGUAAUUGUGGUACUCAACCCAAGUUUGAAACCAUUCAUGAAAGAUUAUGUGCAUACCCUGAAUUGGUCGUCUUUUAAUUAUUUGAUAAUAAUUUCCAUUCAUUAGACGUGUCAGAGGAAGAGACUUAAGCCAGUGAGUAAGUAAGAAGUUAAAAGAUGUUAUGAAAGUCUUUUUCCAAAAU
rnacentral:lncRNA from 1 species